AUUGAACGCUGGCGGCAGGCUUAACACAUGCAAGUCGAGCGGAGAUGAGGUGCUUGCACCUUAUCUUAGCGGCGGACGGGUGAGUAAUGCUUAGGAAUCUGCCUAUUAGUGGGGGACAACAUUCCGAAAGGAAUGCUAAUACCGCAUGCGCCCUACGGGGGAAAGCAGGGGAUCUUCGGACCUUGCGCUAAUAGAUGAGCCUAAGUCGGAUUAGCUAGUUGGUGGGGUAAAGGCCUACCAAGGCGACGAUCUGUAGCGGGUCUGAGAGGAUGAUCCGCCACACUGGGACUGAGACACGGCCCAGACUCCUACGGGAGGCAGCAGUGGGGAAUAUUGGUCAAUGGGCGGAAGCCUGAUCCAGCCAUGCCGCGUGUGUGAAGAAGGCCUUUUGGUUGUAAAGCACUUUAAGCGAGGAGGAGGCUACCUGGAUUAAUACUCUAGGAUAGUGGACGUUACUCGCAGAAUAAGCACCGGCUAACUCUGUGCCAGCAGCCGCAGUAACAC
rnacentral:rRNA from 1 species